CCCUUAGAUGUUCUGGGCCGCACGCGCGCUACACUGAUGCAUUCAACGAGUCUAAAACCUGCUCUGAUAGGGGUGGGUAAUCUUUUGAAUGUGCAUCGUGAUUGGGAUAGAUGAUUGCAAUUUUUCAUCUUCAACGAGGAAUGCCUAGUAAACGCAAGUCAUCAGCUUGCAUUGAUUACGUCCCUGCCCUUUGUACACACCGCCCGUCGCUCCUACCGAUUGAAUGAUCCGAUGAAUAUCAUGGAUUGAGGAUUAUAGCAGGUUCGCCUGUCUUGAUCUUCGAGAAGUGAAGUGAAUCUUAUCAUUUAGAGGAAGGAGAAGUCGUAACA
rnacentral:rRNA from 1 species